rnacentral:lncRNA from 13 species
AUUACACUCAGGGAUGUUCUGUUACAGCAGAAAAAAACAAAAAACAAACAAACAAACAAAAAAACAGACCAAACUUAGCUGACAUCUGCCCACCAUACACAGGGACCAUUUAAACCAGCACUAGCCUGAGAUGAAUCACUGCAGUGGUCAGAAGUCAUGUUCCCGGAAACAUUGCAAAUGCAGGCUGCAGUUCUCAGAAGGUGGCACAAUAUGGCCAAAUAGAAUGCUCCAGUAAUUGUCCUCACCCUACAAAGACAACAAACUGAACAAAAAUGUACACAAGAAAGCACCUUUAUAAGGACCAAAAAUCAGGUCUUAGUUCCAGAGGGAGGAACUCUGCCACCAGGAGACACAACAAGGCUAAGAAGGGAAUUACAGUGUUGGCUGGAGUGAUUGACCUGGACUACAAGAUGAAAGUCUACUACUUCACAACAGAGGUACCAUGGCUCACACUUGCAAUCCCAGCACUUUGAGAAGUCAAGGCGCAAGAGGAUAACUUGAGGUCAGGAGUUCAAGACCAGCCUGGCCAAUAUGGUGAAACUCCAUCUCUACUAAAAAUACAAAAAUUACCUACUGUGGAGGAUGAAGCACUAGAAUGGCUUGAACUCAAGAGGCAGAAUUUGCAAUGAGCUGAGAUCACACUACUGCACUUCAGCUAGGUCUUACAUAUUCACCAGAUAAAAUGUACAACUACCAAUUGCCUGUCCAGUAAUUUUUCUGGGAGUUGCUAUCUCUCAAUGAACAUAGAAAGAUGGAUGAGUUUAAGAAUACUCUGUUUGUCUCACAAAGUAGCACCUUCACAGUAGAGACAUGGUUGUCUAGAAUUCUGGUUAUUGUAGAUCCUAGGAUUCUGAAUGGGCCAUAACUGAGUUGGUUAACCUCACUUCUACUCACAGAUGAUCUUACUUUCAUGAGGUAGACUUUUUCUAGUUUCUUAAUCUAGUCUCAUUAGCCCAUAUAUUGGCCUUCA